UGUCCAGAAAUGAGAAUCCCACCCCCAAAU
rnacentral:piRNA from 1 species